AUGGCACUGUAUUGGUACUGCAUCCCCACAGUAUGGUGGGGCCUCCCAUCUCUUUGCUGGGCCCCAAGGCUGCCUCUGCUGAUCCCUGACUACCAACCUUAUUUGCAGCUUCUUGACAGUUACUUUGAAGCCUACCAGCACACGUUGGACCCUGAGGAGAGGUUCGCCUUAGCACAAGUGAUGACGGACAUCGUGCACCGGCGCCCGAGGUUUGAUCUCAGCCACCCCUAUUUCGUUAAGGCCUACCGAGAGGAAUGCACCUGCCUGAGGCUUCACCUGCAGUUAGUGAGGGGCAUCAUCACCCAGCAGAUAGAAUGUCAGCAGGAGUAUGUCCAGAGGAUUUGGCGAGAGGAUCAUCUGGACAAUAGCAAUACAUUUGGACUUCCCCUUAAUAUAGUUUGCAAACAACUUAUUUCCAUCAACAAUAGCUGGUAAGUUGAUGUUGUCUUUAUACAUUUUAUGUGUGAUCUUCUAGAUUAAUUAAGGAUAGAGUGUUAAAUCUCAGUACUACUCUAUAAAGCACUUCUCAAGUGCUUGGGGGAGAUGAAAGAAAUAGGUACAAAGGCCACAAAGGAGGGAUUCCCUUGUAUAUUGAGUAUCUUUUUGUUUUGUGAAUAAUAAAGAAUAGGAGGCUAGAAUUUAAACAUAUGCCGCUGGGUACAGAAUCAUCAUUCUCUUGAAAAGGCCUGGGGAAAAAGCAGUUGCUCUUGAGAUGCUGUCAGGAUUUAACCAGAUGCACCACACGAGCCUACAUGUAUAAAGCUUGAAGGUGCUUAAAAGCUUCUUAAAAAGGAAUUUAAGUGUCACUAAAGAGGUUUCUGCAGAUUUGCCUUGGAGGGUCACAACAGAGUUAAAUUUAAGGAACAGAGUUAAAUUUCCUGUGACCACUCAGAGAUGGUACACACUUUGUCACCCCCUAGAUAGGCAGCAUAACCAUCUCCCUCAUUCCCUUUUAACCUUUGAGGGUAGAGGAAACUGGGAAGCAGGUGACAAGCCGCAAGUUGAUCUGCAUGGCUCUAGAUCACAAUCUCUCAAUUGCCUCCAAAUGGGUGGAGAAAAUUUCAACAUCCAACAAAUAUUUGUUUGGCACACAGAUGUGAACAACACAGGCAUGGUUCUAUGUUCCUGUGAGGUAUACAGUCCAGCAGUAAAGGCAGACUUUAUGUAAGAAAUUGCCAUAAUGGGUUAUGGUAUUAUCUUGGGGACAGGCAGGGCAUCAUGGGAGCAAAUAUCUGAGAUUCUCAUUUUUUGAGAAAGAGCCCCAGGCUCAAAACUCUGCAUUUUCUCCAUAGAUCUUCCACAGGACUGAUUUCUUCUCUGU
rnacentral:lncRNA from 1 species